rnacentral:sRNA from 1 species
GUAUUACCAUUUAUUUGGCUGUUUGGGGGUAAAUAACUUGAAUUUACCAACUGAUGAUUUCACUGAUUUAUGAAGUUACAGACAACACUCUGAACUGU